AUGUUGAGGGGAAAGUGAAGGUCACUCCAGUAAGAACAGUGCAGACAACCUUAGCCAUAUUUCUAAUGAAAUUAAGAGGAGAGGAGUCAAAUCGAAUUCUGUCCACUCUAUUCAACCUAUCCAAAUCCAGUGUACAUAGAGGUGUGAAAUCAAUACGAACAGCACUGAUGAAUGGUGGAUUUGUAGCCGAAAAUCUGGGAUUUGGACAUGUUACCAGGGAACAGAUAAUUCAGGAGCACACAAGACCUCUGGCCCAGAUGAUUCUUGGUGAUACAGUUUCCCAGCCAUCAAUACUUGUCCUUGAUGGUACUUAUAUAAAUAUACACAAACGUGGCAAUUUCAAGUUUCAACGACCAUAGGGGCCAAGCCCGUUUUAACAUUAAUUUCAAUGUAUCCAUACUUUAUUUAUGGUUACAUUGAAAUUAAUGUUAAAACGGGCUUGGCCCCUGUGUCAACGACAGUCAUUCAGUCUUCACAAAGGACGGCCACUGGUGAAGCCAAUGAUUAUUGUGUCCACAACAGGUUACUUUGUGUCAGUACUGGGUCCUUAUAUUGCUAGAAACAAUGAUGCUACAAUCCUUAACCACAUAAUGCACAGCAACCUUGAGGACAUUCGGAGCUGGGUACAGGAGGAGGACAUAUUUGUGGUUGAUCAUGGAUUUAGGGAUUCCCUGGACUGUCUGGAGCAGAUGGGGAUUAAUGCCAAAAUGCCUUCAUUCCUGAACAAAGGCACAGGGACCAAGCCCGUUUUAACAUUCAUUUCAAUGUAACCAUUAUGGUUACAUUGAAAUUAAUGUUAAAACGGGCUUGGUCCCUGUGAACAAAGGAGAUAAGCAGAUGUCUACAGAAAAUGCAAACACCAGUCGAUAAGUGACAAAGAUACGUUGGGUUGUUGAGUCUGCUAACGCUAGGAUCAAGCAAUGGCGUUACCUAAGACACAUCCUACCUUCCAGUCAAAUUCCCUACAUUGGUGACUUUGUCAGGAUUAUACCUAAAACCCCUUGCUAGUGGAGACACUGAAGAAGACCAGGUCCUUGGUGCAAAAAUGGUUUUUCUCUCCAAGCAAGUAAAUACCCUUCAGUAUCAUAUACAUGUAGAAGAAAACCAUCUGGACAGACGAUCAGUAUGCUGGAAGGAGAUUGAUGACUUACUGGACU